rnacentral:rRNA from 1 species
UACGUAGGGUGCAAGCGUUAAUCGGAAUUACUGGGCGUAAAGCGUGCGCAGGCGGUUAUGCAAGACAGAUGUGAAAUCCCCGGGCUCAACCUGGGAACUGCAUUUGUGACUGCAUGGCUAGAGUGCGGCAGAGGGGGAUGGAAUUCCGCGUGUAGCGGUGGAAUGCGCAGAUAUCAGGAGGAACACCGGUGGCGAAGGCGGGGUCCUGGGCCAGUAC